GGAGUGAACGCUACGCGGCAGGCGUUACACAUGCAAGUCGAGGGGCGAGUCGGAGGUAAGCUUGCUUCCUUGCCGGCGACCGGCGCACGGUGAGUAACACGUAUGCAACCUGCCCUCUUCACGGGGGAGAACCUUCCGAAGGGAGGCUAAUCCCGCGUAUAUCGGUUUCGGGCAUCCGAGAUCGAGGAAAGAUUCAUCGGAAGAGGAUGGGCAUGCGGCGCAUUAGCUUGACGCGGGGGUAACGGCCCACCGUGGCGACGAUGCGUAGGGGUUCUGAGAGGAAGGUCCCCCACACUGGUACUGAGACACGGACCAGACUCCUACGGGGGGCAGCAGUGAGGAAUAUUGGUCAAUGGGAGAGAUCCUGAACCAGCCAAGCCGCGUGAGGGAAGACGGCCCUAUGGGUUGUAAACCUCUUUUGUCGGAGAACAAAACCCGGGAUGUGUCCCGGACUGCGUGUAUCCGAAGAAAAAGCAUCGGCUAACUCCGUG
rnacentral:rRNA from 1 species